rnacentral:tRNA from 3 species
GCGCCCGUAGCUUAAUUGGUGAAGCAGCUCGCUCUUAACGAGAAGAUUGAAGGUUCGAGUCCUUCCGGGCGCA